rnacentral:rRNA from 1 species
GAUGAACGCUGGCGGCGUGCCUAAUACAUGCAAGUCGAGCGAACAGACGAGGAGCUUGCUCCUCUGACGUUAGCGGCGGACGGGUGAGUAACACGUGGAUAACCUACCUAUAAGACUGGGAUAACUUCGGGAAACCGGAGCUAAUACCGGAUAAUAUAUUGAACCGCAUGGUUCAAUAGUGAAAGACGGUUUUGCUGUCACUUAUAGAUGGAUCCGCGCCGCAUUAGCUAGUUGGUAAGGUAACGGGUUACCAAGUCAACGAUGCGUAGCCGACCUGAGAGGAUGAUCGGCCAGACUGGAACAGAGACACGAUACAGACUCCAACGGGAGGCAGCAGUAGGACAGAUUGCGCAAUGGGCGAAAGUCGGACGGAGCAACGCCGAGUGAGUGAUGAAGGUCUUCGGAUCGUAAAACUCUGUUAUUAGGGAAGAACAAAUGUGUAAGUAACUAUGCACGUAUUGACGGUACCUAAUCAAAAAGCCACGGCUAACUACGUG